rnacentral:rRNA from 1 species
GACAAUAAAUUAAUUUUUAUGAUCUGAUCUCAAAUCAGGUAGGACUACCC